rnacentral:rRNA from 1 species
AUACUCCGAGAACUGAAAGGCUUUUUGAAGUCUUCGGAUGGAUAGAAGAACCCCUGAUGCCGUCGAGCCAAGAAAAGUUUCUAAGUUUAGCUAAUGUUGCCCGUACCGUAAACCGACACAGGUGGGUGGGAUGAGUAUUCUAAGGCGCGUGGAAGAACUCUCUUUAAGGAACUCUGCAAAAUAGCACCGUAUCUUCGGUAUAAGGUGUGGUUAGCUUUGUAUUAGGAUUUACUCCGAAAGCAAGGAAACUUACAACAAAGAGUCCCUCCCGACUGUUUACCAAAAACACAGCACUCUGCUAACUCGUAAGAGGAUGUAUAGGGUGUGACGCCUGCCCGGUGCUCGAAGGUUAAUUGAUGGGGUUAGCAUUAGCGAAGCUCUUGAUCGAAGCCCGAGUAAACGGCGGCCGUAACUAUAACGGUCCUAAGGUAGCGAAAUUCCUUGUCGGUUAAAUACCGACCUGCAUGAAUGGCGUAACGAGAUGGGAGCUGUCUCAAAGAGGGAUCCAGUGAAAUUGUAGUGGAGGUGAAAAUUCCUCCUACCCGCGGCAAGACGGAAAGACCCCGUGGACCUUUACUACAGCUUGACACUGCUACUUGGAUAAGAAUGUGCAGGAUAGGUGGGAGGCUUUGAGUAUAUGACGCCAGUUGUAUAUGAGCCAUUGUUGAGAUACCACUCUUUCUUAUUUGGGUAGCUAACCAGCUUGAGUUAUCCUCAAGUGGGACAAUGUCUGGUGGGUAGUUUGACUGGGGCGGUCGCCUCCCAAAUAAUAACGGAGGCUUACAAAGGUUGGCUCAGAACGGUUGGAAAUCGUUCGUAGAGUAUAAAGGUAUAAGCCAGCUUAACUGCAAGACAUACAAGUCAAGCAGAGACGAAAGUCGGUCUUAGUGAUCCGGUGGUUCUGUGUGGAAGGGCCAUCGCUCAAAGGAUAAAAGGUACCCCGGGGAUAACAGGCUGAUCUCCCCCAAGAGCUCACAUCGACGGGGAGGUUUGGCACCUCGAUGUCGGCUCAUCGCAUCCUGGGGCUGGAGCAGGUCCCAAGGGUAUGGCUGUUCGCCAUUUAAAGCGGUACGCGAGCUGGGUUCAGA